rnacentral:rRNA from 1 species
GAUGAACGCUGGCGGCGUGCUUAACACAUGCAAGUCGAACGGUGAACGAGGGAGCUUGCUCCCUCCGGAUCAGUGGCGAACGGGUGAGUAACACGUGAGCAAUCUGCCCCGAACUCUGGGAUAAGCGCUGGAAACGGCGUCUAAUACCGGAUACGACGCGCGAAGGCAUCUUCUGCGCGUGGAAAGAAUUUCGGUUCGGGAUGGGCUCGCGGCCUAUCAGCUAGUUGGUGAGGUAACGGCUCACCAAGGCGACGACGGGUAGCCGGCCUGAGAGGGUGACCGGCCACACUGGGACGGAGACACGGCCCAGACUCCUACGGGAGGCAGCAGUGGGGAAUAUUGCACAAUGGGCGCAAGCCUGAUGCAGCAACGCCGCGUGAGGGACGACGGCCUUCGGGUUGUAAACCUCUUUCAGUAGGGAAGAAGCGAAAGUGACGGUACCUGCAGAAAAAGCACCGGCUAACUACGUGCCAGCCGCCGCCGUAAUAC